UGUGUGUAUGUCUGUGUUUGUCUAUGUCUGUAAACGGUAGGCGUGGCUUGGGAGUGGAAUCAUAGAGCAGUGAAGCAACUGCAUUCUGGGAUUUGGUGUCUUUCAUCCACAUGAGCC